rnacentral:rRNA from 1 species
ACUCCUACGGGAGGCAGCAGUGGGGAAUAUUGCACAAUGGGCGCAAGCCUGAUGCAGCCAUGCCGCGUGUAUGAAGAAGGCCUUCGGGUUGUAAAGUACUUUCAGCAGUGAGGAAGGUGGAGUCGUUAAUAGCGGCCUCAUUUGACGUUUAGCUUGCAGAAGAAGCACCGGCUAACUCCGUGCCAGCAGCCGCGGUAAUACGGAGGGUGCGAGCGUUAAUCGGAAUUACUGGGCGUAAAGCGCAUGCAGGUGGUUUGUUAAGUCAGAUGUGAAAGCCCGGGGCUCAACCUCGGAAUAUGAC